rnacentral:rRNA from 1 species
UUAAGUCCCGCAACGAGCCGCAACCCUCGUCUUCAGUUGCCAUCAGGUAGGGCUGGGCACUCUGAAGGAAACUGCCGGUGACAAGCCGGAGGAAGGUGGGGAUGACGUCAAGUCCUCAUGGCCCUUACGGGCUGGGCUACACACGUGCUACAAUGGCGGUGACAGUGGGGCGCGAUCCCGCGAGGGUGAGCGAAUCUCAAAAAGCCGUCUCAGUUCGGAUUGCACUCUGCAACUCGAGUGCAUGAAGUCGGAAUCGCUAGUAAUCGCGGAUCAGCACGCCGCGGUGAAUACGUUCCCGGGCCUU